GUGAGGAAUAUUGGUCAAUGGGCGAGAGCCUGAACCAGCCAAGUAGCGUGAAGGAUGACUGCCCUAUGGGUUGUAAACUUCUUUUAUAAAGGAAUAAAGUCGGGUAUGGAUACCCGUUUGCAUGUACUUUAUGAAUAAGGAUCGGCUAACUCCGUGCCAGCAGCCGCGGUAAUACGGAGGAUCCGAGCGUUAUCCGGAUUUAUUGGGUUUAAAGGGAGCGCAGACGGGUCGUUAAGUCAGCUGUGAAAGUUUGGGGCUCAACCUUAAAAUUGCAGUUGAUACUGGCGUCCUUGAGUGCGGUUGAGGUGUGCGGAAUUCGUGGUGUAGCGGUGAAAUGCUUAGAUAUCACGAAGAACUCCGAUUGCGAAGGCAGCCUGCUAAGCUGCAACUGACAUUGAGGCUCGAAAGUGUGGGUAUCAAACAGGAUUAGAAACCCCUGUAGUCC
rnacentral:rRNA from 1 species